rnacentral:lncRNA from 1 species
GGUGCAAUGGGAAGCUGAAUAGCUAAGGUUCACUUGACAAGAAAUCCAGGUUGUGCUUCGUCUUAUAUUUUUUUUGUAAAUCAGUUCCAAAGUUUGGGUCGGACACCCCACCCCACCCUCACGGAAAUGUUAAUAAUAAUGUUCUACGGCAAUACUCUUUUCGACACUAGGUAUAAUGGGAAGCUGAAUAGCUAAAGUUUACUUGACAAAAAAUCCAGGUUGUGCGUCGGCUUUUUUUUUUUUUUUUAAUUAGGUCCAAAGUUAUGGUCGAACACCUUACCCCACCUUCACGGAAAUGGUAAUAAAAAAUGUUCUACGGCAAUACUUUUUUCGACACUAAGUGCAAUGGGAAGGUGAAUAGCUUAAGUUUACUGGACAAAAAAUCCAGUGUGUGCGACGGCUUAUUUUUUUUAAUUCAAAUUAGGUCAAAAGUUGGGGUUGGACACCCUAUCCCACCCUUACGGAAAUGUUAAUUAAAAAUGUUCUACGGCAAUACUUUUUCGACACUCGGUGCAAUGGGACGCUGAAUAACUUAAGUUUACUUGACAAAAAAUCCAGGGUGUGCGUCGGCUUAUUUUUUCAUCUAAAGUUUGGGUCGGAUAUCUUACCCCACCCUUACGGAAAUGUUAAUAACAAAUGUUCUUCGGCAACACUUUUUUCGUCACUAGAUGAAAUGGGAAGCUGAAUAGUUAUUUUUUACUUGACAAAAAAUCCAGGGUGUGCGACGGCUUAGUUUUUUUUUGUUUAAAUUAGGUCCAAAGUUGAGGUCGGACACCUAAACCCAUCCUCGCGGAAAUGUUAAUUAAAAAUGUUCUACGGCAAUACUUUU